rnacentral:rRNA from 1 species
AUUGAACGCUGGCGGCAUGCUUUACACAUGCAAGUCGAGCGGCAGCGCGGGGCAACCUGGCGGCGAGCGGCGAACGGGUGAGUAAUACAUCGGAACGUGCCCAGGCGUGGGGGAUAACUACUCGAAAGAGUGGCUAAUACCGCAUACGAUCUAAGGAUGAAAGCGGGGGAUCGCAAGACCUGCGCGUUUGGAGCGGCCGAUAUCAGAUUAGGUAGUUGGUGGGGUAAAAAGCCUACCAAGCCUUCGAUCUGUAGCUGGUCUGAGAGGACGACCAGCCACACUGGAACUGAGACACGGUCCAGACUCCUACGGGAGGCAGCAGUGGGGAAUUUUGGACAAUGGGCGCAAGCCUGAUCCAGCAAUGCCGCGUGCAGGAUGAAGGCCCUGGUUGUAAAUGCUUUGUACGGAACGAAACGGUUCUCUCUAAUACAGGGGGCUAAUGACGGUACCGUAAGAAUAAGCACGGCUAACUACGUGCCAGCAGCCGCGU